GCACACCCAUACACCAUUAGGAGUCCUGCUGCCAUUGCUUGCUAGUCUUUAAAUUUUCAAACUCAGUUCAAAACCCCAGACGAGGGGAAGGACUCACAGAGAUUUGGACCCUAGACUCUUGGAACAAGUUUCAAAUUCCAGCAGCCUUCUGUUUUUCCAAGACAGAUAAACUAAGUGGCUUGCUGAAUACUGCAUGUGUUUUCAGGCAAGAUCUGGAAAACAGCAGGUCUUUCCUCAGAAAGGACAUUAAACAUCCUGUGACACUUUUCAUGAGAACUAAGAUAAAAUUGGAUCUUUUCUUACGGUUCCCAAACACUGUUGCUGGACAAGAGCUGCUUGGUUCUUGUCGUUCCCCCAGGACCUUGCUGACUUUCAGUGCUGCUAUAAAGAGCAAGUGCAAAGCUCCCAGGAGUGUGCAAGCAGAGCAUUUGGAGAGUGACUGGGAGACAUUUGCUAUGCUGGUCUUCAGGAUGAAGUUCAAAAUCCUUCAAGAUGACAGAGCUACUCUGUGCAGUACAGCCAGCCACACAGGACAGCUAGGAGAGACUCAUACUUCACCUUUUUCUGCACACCGUGGGAUGAAGCUAAACACUGGGCAGCCCACAUCACCUAUGUACAUCUUCCCUAGCAAUACACCUCUCCUGCAGCAUGGUGGCUCACAGCAGCUCGAGAGAAAAGGAGCUACUUUUCCCUACCAUCCGUGUGGGUAACAAAAGCUUGUCCUUGAACGAGAAAAAAGUGCAUCUCUUACUUUCUUGCUGCAAGAUAAUAGCUCUGAACAACGUGUAUAUUGAGCUACCGGUCAAGUGACUGGGGAUCUCAACAUCGCAGCAAACUUCCUCUGCAAGUCUGGUUGGCAGCAUCUCAGUGACAACUCCCCAUCAGCAGUGGGAAUGACAGCGG